rnacentral:lncRNA from 1 species
AGGGAAGGCGCAGUGCCAUGGAGUGGUGCCCCAGGUCAAGGAUCCCUUAGUCAGGGUUUCUAUUCCUGCUCAAACAUCAUGACCAAGAAGCAGUUGGGGAGGAAAGGGUUUAUUCGGCUUACACUUCCAUACUGCUGUUCAUCACCAAAGGAAGUCAGGACUGGAACUCAAGCAGGUCAGGAAGCAGGAGCUGAUGCAGACCCAUGGAGCGAUGUUACUUACUGGCUUGCUUUGACUAGGCCGUCCAGAAGCAACAGCACUGAAUCACCACACACUGAACCUCCCUCCCAAUUAAAAAUACUAAAACAGGACAUAAGAAUACCAUUUUCCAGGGGGGAGGGCAUGGGGGACUUUCGGGAUAGCAUUGGAAAUGUAAAUGAGGAAAAUACCUAGUUAAAAAAAAAAAAGAAUACCGUUUUCCUGUAAACUUAGUGUGAUGGCAAAUCUUGGUUGUCAACUUGAUAUACCUAAGAAGAGCUCCCUCUCAUCAGAUUGGUCUUUGGACAUGUCUGUGGGCCAUCUU